rnacentral:rRNA from 1 species
AGGACGAACGCUGGCGGCGUGCCUAAUACAUGCAAGUCGAGCGGACAGAUGGGAGCUUGUUCCCUGAUGUUAGCGGCGCACGGGUGCGUAACGCGUAUGUAACCUACCUUUAACAGGGGGAUAACACUGAGAAAUUGGUACUAAUACCCCAUAACACCUUUAGGGGCAUCCUUAGAGGUUGAAAGUUCCGGCGGUUAAAGAUGGACAUGCGUUGUAUUAGCUAGAUGGUGAGGUAAAGGCUCACCAUGGCGACGAUACAUAGGGGGACUGAGAGGUUAACCCCCCACACUGGUACUGAGACACGGACCAGACUCCUACGGGAGGCAGCAGUGGGGAAUCUUCCGCAAUGGGCGCAAGCCUGACGGAGCAACGCCGCGUGAGUGAAGAAGGUUUUCGGAUCGUAAAGCUCUGUUGAGAGGGACGAGAGACAUAAUCAGGAAAUGGGUUAUGGAGGACGGUACCUUUCGAGGAAGCCACGGCUAACUACGUG